GAUGAACGCUGGCGGCGUGCCUAAUACAUGCUAGUCGAGCGAACAGACGAGGAGCUUGCUCCUCUGACGUUAGCGGCGGACGGGUGAGUAACACGUGGAUAACCUACCUAUAAGACUGGGAUAACUUCGGGAAACCGGAGCUAAUACCGGAUAAUAUAUUGAACCGCAUGGUUCAAUAGUGAAAGACGGUUUUGCUGUCAAUUAUAGAUGGAUCCGAGCCGCAUUAGCUAGUUGGUAAGGUAACGGCUUACCAAGGCAACGAUGCGUAGCCGACCUGAGAGGGUGAUCGGCCACACUGGAACUGAGACACGGUCCAGACUCCUACGGGAGGCAGCAGUAGGGAAUCUUCCGCAAUGGGCGAAAGCCUGACGGAGCAACGCCGCGUGAGUGAUGAAGGUCUUCGGAUCGUAAAACUCUGUUAUUAGGGAAGAACAAAUGUGUAAGUAACUAUGCACGUCUUGACGGUACCUAAUCAGAAAGCCACGGCUAACUACGUG
rnacentral:rRNA from 1 species